CUGUUUUUUCAGCUUGUCUCAAAUACUAUUUGUCCAUUGCCUUGUCAAAGUUUGACGCUAACAUAUUAGUUGUAGGCCCAUUCGUUUUCAUUGCAGCCCUGUUUGAACGCAGUUACGCUAACGCCGUAUUCACGAUACUCAGUCAACUCGCAUCCAGCUACAGUAGCUGGUAAUAGGCUAAAUGCAUUAUUCCGCCUCCAACGUUCUAAUUUACUUCAGACCGGGUUGAUGACUUCCGGAGCGAGUUCUGCUAUUGUUUUUAUCAUUAGCUUACUAGCUGUCGUCGAUGCAUUUCUGGCUGAAAUAGUUCGCAAUUACUACGUUUAAAUUACAGCCCCGCGAAGGAGGUGCUAAUGAACAUUGUUCAGUGCCUGUGUUCAGUUUCUUCCAAAUGUAAUGGUAUUGUGAGCUUCCAUCGUUUCCCAGUCGAUGUAGAGCUCAGAAAAAGGUGGUUAGUGACAGAACGUCGUGACAACUUUACUGUCACCAAACACACAAAGGUGUGUAGUACACAUUUCGUCGAAAGUGACUUUGUUGAGGGGAAAAUGGGGGGGGGGGGCAAUACCUAAAAAGAGGUGUUGUUCCUACUGUCUUCGCAUGGAACUGGCAAAUUCAAAAGAGAUCUGGUGUUUGGGAAAGAAGACUGAAACGUCCUGCUCCGACUGAGGGUGGUGAAAGACAAGCAUAGGAAGAACCUGCCUCUCCUACACAAGUGAAUCAACGAGGAUGAACAAGCAGCACUUUUGGUAUUUUGUCUAACCUUAUGAUAAUAGAUUGGAUUACUAUGAAAGCUCAGGCUUUGUGGUCAGAUUGGUAAUUAAAUCAUCCUGCCUGGUC